CCCUUAGAUGUUCUGGGCUGCACGCGUGCUACAAUGGCGUUUCCAGCAAGUCUGCGAACCCGAGAGGGCCAGCGGAUCUUCGAAUUGGCGUCGUGAUCGGGACAGUCGAUUGCAAUUAUUUGACUCAAACGAGGAAUUCCUUGUAAUCGCGAUUCAUCAUAUCGCGCUGAAUACGUCCCUGCCCUUUGUACACACCGCCCGUCGCUCCUACCGAUUGAGCGAUCCGGUAAAUGUUUUGGAUUGGUGCCGGGGCGGCUAGCUGCCGGUCGCUACGAAAUUUUGUGAACCUUAUCGUUUAGAGGAAGGAAAAGUCGUAACA
rnacentral:rRNA from 1 species